rfam:Canis lupus familiaris chromosome 1, whole genome shotgun sequence.
GGAUGUGAGGGCGAUGGGACUGAGACAUCUGUCACCUCAUUGAUCACCAGGCUUGAUUCAGUUGAUUUGGCUGGCUAGGCGGGUGUCCCCCUUCUCCCUCACCAUUCUAUGUGUGUCCCUCCUAAAACUGCAAACUCUGUUGAAGAGGACGACCUUCAAGGAGAUAACCGUUUUCUUAGGUCAUGGGUGUACAAGUAGCCGUGCUCUCCUGCUAGAACCUCCUAACAAGCUCUCCAGGUCCAUUUGUAAGAUAACGUAGGAUAGUCAACCUUCUGAGACUCCAGAUACUCCAAAUGAGACACUGCAUGUGGCAGUUUCCCUUUCUUU